AUUGAACGCUGGCGGCAGGCCUAACACAUGCAAGUCGAGCGGAUGAAGGGAGCUUGCUCCUGGAUUCAGCGGCGGACGGGUGAGUAAUGCCUAGGAAUCUGCCUGGUAGUGGGGGAUAACGUCCGGAAACGGGCGCUAAUACCGCAUACGUCCUGAGGGAGAAAGUGGGGGAUCUUCGGACCUCACGCUAUCAGAUGAGCCUAGGUCGGAUUAGCUAGUUGGUGGGGUAAAGGCCUACCAAGGCGACGAUCCGUAACUGGUCUGAGAGGAUGAUCAGUCACACUGGAACUGAGACACGCUCCAGACUACUACGGGAGGCAGCAGUGGGGAAUAUUGGACAAUGGGCGGAAGCCUGAUCCAGCCAUGCCAAGUGUGUGAAGAAGGUCUUCGGAGUGUAAAGCACUUUAAGUUGGGAGGAAGGGCAGUAAGUUAAUACCUUGCUGUUUUGACGUUAACAACAGAAUAAGCACCGGCUAACUUCGUG
rnacentral:rRNA from 1 species